rnacentral:lncRNA from 1 species
CAUAUUUUUUUCAUUAUUAUUUGACUUUUAUUUCAGAUCUCACUCUCUCUCUCUCCAUUUUCAUAGGUUCAUCUCCUUAUUUUUUUUCCAUUCAUUUUUCAUACCCUCUCUCCAUCUUCAUUCUCAAUCUGCUUUUGUUUUUUCUUUUCUUCCUCAAACUUCAUUCUUCGUCCUUCCUUUUUCAUCCUUGGCACAAUUUCUUCAUUCACAGGUAUGACUUUUAACACAAGUACAAUUUUUCUUAUAACUUUCUUUCAUGUUCUUGCUGUUAACUUCUUCAUCCUUGAAAACAUUUUUAGUGUUACUGAAAACAUUUUAGUGGAUCAAACUUUUGUUGUUUUUAGUCUUAACUUUUACUAAAAAGAUAACAUUUUUAUCUAAAAAGUUAACAUUUUUUUGAGUAUUUUUUCUCCGUUAACCUUGUUUCUUGCUUUUUGAGUUCAAAAUAAUAAUUUUGGUGUUAUCUUGAGUAUGCAUGUUAUUUUGGUGUUGUUGAUAACACUUUUAGUAUAUCAAACUCAUUUGUUGUUUUAGAUAACAUUUACUAAAAAGAUAACAUUUUUACCCUAAAAGUUAACAGUUAUUUUGGAUAUUUUUGUUCCAUGAUGCUUAACAUUAACAUUUUUAGUUGAAAAGUUAAUAUUUUUGGCUAUUUUUACUUUCCUUUUUCUCAUUACCAGUUAGAUCUCAAAUGUUCUGAAGUUUUUUUAUUAAUAGUAUUUUUCUUCUGUUUAGAAAAAUGUACAUUUUGAUAUUGUUCCAUACUUAUAUGUGCUUAUUUGAUUCAUCUUCAUAUUUCAGCAAUAUUUGUAUAUACAGUUAUUUCUCUGGCACAUUUUCCCUUCCCUAUAUAUUGUGAUUUGUUAAUGUGUGUAUCACGAUCAAUUGUUUUUUACCACACACAUCAUUCCCCGUUGAUUUUGAAGGUCACUAACUUGACUUAAGUCCUAUUUUCUGCAGUUUUUUGAGCUUAAUUUAGAGGUUGUGAAAGUAUGCAGUUUUUUCUUUGUUUAACUUUUUUAUUUUUAAAAAAUCUAACAUUAAUUAGACAUUAUUUGCGGAUGUAGCAUCAUUAAGAUUCACAUACAAACACAGGUUGGUGGAAUCUAAUGCAAUCUUAGCUCUCUGCUAUGCCAUAUGUGUUUUGCACUUCUGUUUUUACAAAUGUUCUAUUGUCUUAACAAUGUCAUUGUGAAUUUACAAGUAAAUGAUUAUAUUCUCAACAGGUUUUGGAUCCCCUUAUUCUUUCCAUUCAUUUUACAUACUCCAUCUCUCUCCACUUUCAUUCUCACCCUUCUUCCACGUUUUUUUCUUCCUCAUACUUCCUUCUUCAUCUUAGGCACAAUUUCUACAUUCACAAGUAUGAUUUUUUCUUACAACUUCCUAUAUGUAUAUUAUUUAACUCACUCAACCUCCUUUAUCAUCACAUUUUAUAACUUCACAUUUAAUACUUGCUAUUUGUUUCUACAAUUUUAUGUUUUCGUUUCUACAAAAAAUUUAUAUAUUACUUAACAUAUUUAAAAAUGUAGCUUCAUAUCUAACUAUGUUCACUCAAAUCUCUAACUAUGGACAGGUAACUCAAUCAUUUGAGCAGAAUUUGUUGGAAUCAAGACAGUCAUACAUUGCGGCCUACUUCAUCACACUAUCUCAGUGUAUGUACUUGGUCAUACCACAAUAGUUACCAUGUGCACUACCUUUACAUUUCAUGACCACUAAGUUUAAUAUUUUCCUUAUGGUAAUAUUAUCUAAUACUUUAACACUUUAACUCAUUAUCAUACAUUACCUCCUUUUUAAUAAGAAAAUGUAUUAUUUUUUCACCUAUAUAUGAGCCAUGAGAUUAUUGUUUAAUUAAAUUUAUUAAUUUAGGUAAAAAUUUAACUAUUAUAAAUCUUAUGAUGUGGAAUGAGUUGUGGGCAAGAAAAUCUAUUCACAUUUUAGAGAUUUGUAUUUUCUUAAUUUACCUCAAAAUUAUGGUGAUUUCCAUCAUAAGAAUCACAAACUCAUGCUUACCUACAAAAUACGAUGAGGCUUCAUUAGUGGUAUGACAUGAUAGGUUUUCAUAAGUAGGUAAAAGAUUUUUGGACUUGCCAAUACUUUGUACAGCAUUUGCCAUUGACCCACUUGAGUUUAUGCAUUUCAUCAAAGGCGUGAUUAUAAGAACAAAAAGUCCCUUCUUUUAUAUAUUUAGCGUGAACAUUUGCACUCCAACCCUUGCUUUCAAGUUUCAAUGGCACAAUUAUAAGAACAAAAAGUCUCUUCUAUUUUUUGUAACAUCUCUUUGUCACAUAUUUAAUGCAAUUUUUGAAGUUUUUAUUUGAAUGAUUGCAAUAGAACAAUGGAUUGCAAUAUGUAACAAAUUUACGUAUUAUUUUUAGUUCAAUUUUUUACUUAUUUCCUCCAUUCUAGCUUCUGCAUGUUAACAUUUUUCUGUUAUUUUGGAUAUACAUGUUCACUAUCUAACUUAUUUGAUAAAAAUGAAUCAUUUUUCAGCAUUUUUAUCAAUCAAGCUUAGUUUGUAAAUUUUUAGUUAGACAUUACAUUUUCACUAAACCUUAUUUACAGCAUUUCUAUGGGUCCUUUUUUGUGCACCUAUGUACCAAGUUUCUAGCUUUCUCUCUAUUUUUUGCCUUAUUGUUUUCAACAUUAAGGUUUAGAGAAGAGUUACAAAGUGUUAUAGAGGUCAUGGAAGCUCUAAGAGACAGAAGAGAUAAAUCACCUACAAAUGGACCAAAUUCAAGGCUUAGAGUAUUGUAUAGAUUCAAAACUAUCUUGGGUUAUGUUAAACUUUAAUCAUUCUUCAUCUUGCAUUUGCAUUUUCAAUUUUAUUGAUAGAUUGAAUUAUUUUCUUCAACUUGCAUUUGCACAUUUCUCCUUCUUUUCCACUCAACUAUGGUAGCCUUUUUAAAUAAGUUUACACAUUUUUGUUAACUUAUGGUUAGAUGGCUAAACAUAUGUUACCAUAAAUAAUUUGACAACUAUCUCCAGAAUAUUAUAUUUAAGGUUGCUUUAUAUGUUGGAUGAGUCAUGGUACUUUGUAUAAGUAAUAUAGAAUUCUUUCACAAUCUAUCUUUAUUAAUAUAUUACUAAAGGCAAAUAUUUAUAUAACGGAAGGAAAAAAUCAUUUCUACAACAAAUAAAUAUUGACUAUAAACAAUUUAUAUACAAUAAUUUUACAAUGUUAUACUUAGACUUAUAUUGUUUAUAUUUUACACUUCAGUUUCAUAUGUUUACUUUUUCAACAUGUUAUGGAUGUAGCUAUAAUAACCUCUUGCAUUUUAGAUGCAUUAUGUUUACAAACCCUUUUGCUAUAAUUAGAGUUACAUUUUUUUUUACUUUCAACUAUAUAUUGUGUUAUGUUUUUUCCCAAUGCUAUGAUUAAGUAUCAUUUGUGUUAUAUUCUUGAACAUGUUAUGAACAUAGGUAUGGUAACCCCUUACGAAUGUCAUGUACAUUUUGCUAAAAUAGGAACUCAUAUUGCUUUUAGGAUUUGUCUCACGUACUAAUAUGAUAUGGACGAUUAUAAUUCAAACAAUUAUAUUACAAAUGUAUUUGACGAAAAAGAAUAUGUAAGUCCAGAUUCAGUUGAUAUGUUUGAUGCUAAUGAAAUGACCAG